rnacentral:rRNA from 1 species
GGCUCAGGACGAACGCUGGCGGCGUGCUUAACACAUGCAAGUCGAACGAACCUCGAUCUUCGGAUCUUGGUUAGUGGCGAACGGGUGAGUAACACGUGGGCAACCUGCCCCUAGCUCUGGGAUAACUCCUCGAAAGAGGCGCUAAUACCGGAUAUUCACAACACUGGGCAUCUCGUGUUGUGGAAAGUUUCUCGGCUAGGGAUGGGCCCGCGGCCUAUCAGCUUGUUGGUGGGGUAAUAGCCCACCAAGGCGACGACGGGUAGCCGGCCUGAGAGGGCGACCGGCCACACUGGGACUGAGACACGGCCCAGACUCCUACGGGAGGCAGCAGUGGGGAAUAUUGCGCAAUGGGCGAAAGCCUGACGCAGCAACGCCGCGUGAGGGAUGAAGGCCUUCGGGUUGUAAACCUCUUUCAGCAGGGACGAAGCGAAAGUGACUGUACCUGAAGAAGAAGCGCCGGCUAACUACGUGCCAGCAGCCGCGGUAAUACGUAGGGCGCAAGCGUUGUCCGGAUUUAUUGGGCGUAAAGAGCUCGUAGGCGGUCUGUCACGUCGGAUGUGAAAACCCGGAGCUCAACUCCGGGCCUGCAUUCGAUACGGGCAGACUUGAGUACUGCAGGGGAGACUGGAAUUCCUGGUGUAGCGGUGGAAUGCGCAGAUAUCAGGAGGAACACCGGUGGCGAAGGCGGGUCUCUGGGCAGAAACUGACGCUGAGGAGCGAAAGCGUGGGGAGCGAACAGGAUUAGAUACCCUGGUAGUCCACGCCGUAAACGGUGGGCACUAGGUGUGGGGACCAUCUCAGGUCUCUGCGCCGCAGCUAACGCAUUAAGUGCCC